rnacentral:lncRNA from 1 species
UCAAGUGUUUGUGGUGAUGCUGGUGUAAGCAAACAAGAGAAAAGAUCCAUUCAAGGUGAAUCUUUUCUACAUCAUUUCUACUUAAUAAUGGAUUGCAGCUGUCCAUGCCCAACUUUAUGGUUUAGUGGAUCACAUAACAUCCGGCUCAUGAUGGGAUGCUCAGAGUCCUGAGCUGUCUAUAAGAAGUCUGACAAAUCUGAGACCAGCCUGCUGUGAGGAAACCCAAGCCACAGGAAGAUGCCACCAGGAGGCAAUCUGGUCAACCAUUCCAACUGAGCCCAGACUUGGAAUCAUCCCAGUCCAUGCCCAACCUGACUGACCAGCUUAUGGAGAAUCUGGUUAUGGAAAUGUUUACUGAGGGGGCAGCUUCAUGGACCAUAGACUUCGGAAGUCCAGCUAUGAAGCCCAGCAAUCUGCAAUAACUGUAGAGUCACUCUCUACAACGGUUACCAAACUCUUCCACCCAGUUCUGCUAAGAACUUCCAGCCUUGGUCCAGAUGUCAGCUGCAAACCGUGAUAUUCUCUGUACAGAGAUGAUUGAAAGGCCAGAUUCUCAGUUGCUCACAUGUAAAUAAAGAAAUGGAUUAAUUUCAG